rnacentral:rRNA from 1 species
ACGGGUGAGUAAUAUGUGGGAAUCUACCUUUUGGUUCGGAAUAACACGGGGAAACCUGUGCUAAUACCGGAUAAGCCUUUACGGGGAAAGUUUUAAUGCCGAAAGAUGAGCCCGCACUUGAUUAGCUAGUUGGUAAGGUAAAAGCUUACCAAGGCAACGAUCAAUAGCUGUUCUUAGAGGAAGACCAGCCACAUUGGGACUGAGACACGGCCCAGACUCCUACGGGAGGCAGCAGUGGGGAAUCUUGCACAAUGGGGGAAACCCUGAUGCAGCGAUGCCGCGUGAGUGAAGAAGGCCCUUGGGUUGUAAAACUCUUUCGUCGGGGAAGAAAAUGACUGUACCCGAAUAAGAAGGUCCGGCUAACUUCGUGCCAGCAGCCGCGGUAAUACGAAGGGACCUAGCGUAGUUCGGAAUUACUGGGCUUAAAGAGCUCGU